rnacentral:rRNA from 1 species
GGUUGAUCCUGCCAGUAGUCAUAUGCUUGUUUUAAAGAUUAAGCCAUGCAUGUGUAAGUAUACGGCAUUAUAGCCGGAAACAGCGGACGGCUCCGUAUUAUCAGUCAUGAUCUACUUGAUUAUAAAAUUCUAUUUGGAUAACUAUAGAAAAGCUAUGGCUAAUACAUGCAAAAAGAUAUGAUGAAGUAAUUCAAAGUAUUGUAUAUAUUAGGUCCAAAAUCAAUGGUAGGAAACUAUCUAAAUUGAUGAAUCAUAGUAUAUAGACGAAGCGCAAGGGAGUAAAAUCUAGGCG